UCCGCCUUCAUGGAGUCGGGUUGCAGACUCCAAUCCGAACUGAGACCGGUUUUAAGGGAUCCGCUCCCCCUCACCAGGUCGCAUCCCGUUGUACCGGCCAUUGUAGCAUGCGUGAAGCCCUGGACGUAAGGGGCAUGAUGAUCUGACGUCAUCCCCACCUUCCUCCG
rnacentral:rRNA from 1 species